GCCAGCCCGCUCAGAACUAAAUGAAUUGACGGGGGCCCGGCACAAGCGGAGGAGCAUGUGGUUUAAUUCGAUGAUACGCGAGGAACCUUACCUGGGCUCGAACGUAAGAUGACUGUAGGUGAAAGCUUACAUCUCUUCGGAGCAUUUUACGAGGUGCUGCAUGGUUGUCGUCAGCUCGUGCCGUGAGGUGUCGGGUUAAGUCCCAUAACGAGCGCAACCCCUACCUUUAGUUGCCAUCAGGUUAAGCUGGGGACUCUAAAGGAACUGCCUACGCAAGUAGUGAGGAAGGCGGGGAUGACGUCAAAUCAGCACGGCCCUUACGUCCAGGGCUACACACGUGCUACAAUGGCCGAUACAGAGGGCAGCUACCUGGUGACAGGAUGCAAAUCUCCAAAGUCGGUCUCAGUUCGGAUCGGAGUCUGCAACCCGACUCCGUGAAGUUGGAUUCGCUAGUAAUCGCGCAUCAGCCAUGGCGCGGUGAAUACGUUCCCGGGCCUU
rnacentral:rRNA from 1 species